CCUGCCCCACAGUUUGAGAACCACUAAACUAAAGAGUGGUAGCUGACCAACUGAGGCCACUGUGAAGUCGACUUGAAUGCAUCAUCAUCUUCUUAUUCUGCAGGCAACAAGAUUGGAUUUUCAAAAACUCCUUGGUGUUACUGCAAUAUCUUGGGGAGACAGUCACUGAGAGCCUCGCUCAGGUUGACAUGACUGCAGUUUUGUAUUUGAAAAUGGAGUCCUGAAAGCUUUCAAGUUUAGAUUCAUUGAUAAUUUGGAAGCCUUUGGUGAACAGAAGAAGCAAGGUAUGAUAUUAUAGCAAGUUUGGAAGAACCUGGAAGGCAGAUUUCAGUCCUAUAACAGAAGGCCACUGAAGGGUGGUUUGCCAAAGAGGGAAGGUUCUAGAAGCUGGCAGAUUGUGUUGUGUAGACUGGACCAUAAAUGCAGUCCAUUGGAGACCUGACAACUACGAGAGAUGGGGACCUUCAUCGUUGCCCAAUGAAGUCAUCUAGAGGGUCACUACAUACUUCAUUCCUAAGAAGUGGCAACAGAUAUGAAGCAUUUGUCUCAAGAAUGGAGCGGCCAUGACAUGCUGAAUGACUGGAAAAACAAGCGGCCAAUUACAAGCAUCACAGGGAAGAAGAAAAACAACGGCAAGCCAUACAAGUGAUGAAAUUUCACACCAAUUUGUAGCCAGGGAUGCACACAAAAAAUGUCAUCCCUACUGAGCACUAUCUACAGUAUCGAUACCAAGUGUGAAAUCGUGCCAUUUGUCAUCUGGGCCACUGAAAUGGAGAAGAAGGCAAGAGUGUGGCUCUAACAAGGACACGCAGCCUUCUAUAUUUAUAUAGCAAAACUACAUUACACAGUUAAUAGCAUUUUGAUUUCCAUCCAUGGGCUGCUGAUCAUAUCAGGUGAAC